CGUCUUUUCAGCGGCGCGCCAAAACCCUAUAUUCGCCGGGCUGGGGCUUGCUCCGGCUAUGGCGAUAAACGGCCGAUGGAAUAAACCUUUCGGACCCGGGGGCGGUACCCGGCGCCUCCACCUGAGCCCAGCCCUCGCGCUGGUUUGAGGCGGGGGCGAAAUAGGAUCGACGAGGGUGUAAAGAUCGUUCUUUCGCUCGGCAUUGUACCACCGUUAUCGGGCUAAAAAAGUAGUUGCCAACGACAACUAUGCGGAAGCCCGUCUCGCCGCCUAACGCGGUGCGAUAGCUUCAAAUCAAGCCCUGAGGGUUCGCACUUUCAGGCGGGGCUCGGAGGUGCCUGGCAACAGAAACCUCCACU
rnacentral:tmRNA from 1 species